rnacentral:lncRNA from 1 species
CAGGAUUUCUUCAAAGAAGUUAAAAUUUAUACCAAAUAUGUUUGACUCCAUUAAAUGUUAUGAAGAAGCUACUUCUACAUUAGCUAAAUAUUCAGCUCCCAUAAACGGAAUCUUCUAUCACCAUUAACUUACAGACAGAAAAAAUUAGAAAACUGAUAGAAACAUAAAAGACUGGGAUCUGAAAAGCUUACCUUAGAUUUUCAUCACUUAAAGAUAGGAUUGGACAUAUUCUUACAGAAAGCAUUUCUGAAAUGAGAGACACCAGCAGUAAACUGAAUGGAAAGGAUGCCUUCGUCCUCACAGCCUCCUCCUGAGCAUCCAGCAACACGUAAGAAGCCCGUGAGACUCUUGGCCCUUUCUUGAACUUAUGAAAAAAAGAAAAGUUCUUGGAUAUUACGAACUUAUGAGGCUCACCAAAUAUCCAGAUAUCCGGAAACCAUAAGCAAAUACCUUCAUGUAUGUGUCUAAGUAGUUAUUCAUGGCAGUCUUUACCAAUUGCAAUGAAUAUAGUCCUCCUGAGAGUAAAUUCUACAAA